rnacentral:tRNA from 1 species
UAAGAGGUAGUAUAAUAAGGUAGUACGGGAAGUUUUGAGCUUCUUAGUCUGGGUUCGAAGCCUUGACUCUUAG